UGUUUGUAUAGUGUGUGUAUAUAAUGCAGUGUGUUUAUAUAAUGCACACUACACAAACACACUGCAUUAUAUACACACACUAUACAAAC